rnacentral:sRNA from 1 species
AGAUCUCACCUUACAAAUCCAAGGGAAGAACUGGAGUCAGCUUAGAGAAAAACGAACUGAUCAAUGGUCAGUCAGAUAAACGAAAACUUCCAACAUCUAGACCUGAAGCUUCCUUACAAAUCCUAGGACAUAAUACAGGACAAAAGUCUCAACUCUUGUGGACAUUCUAUAUCACUUUAUCAAUUAUUUGGUUUACUCUGAUAUAUCAAAACUGUUUAAAUGUGUAAUUUGAUAUUAUGUAGUUUAUUAUUGCUAUCUAGAAGAAUUUAUUUUAAAGGUUGUAUUAAUAUAAUCAACAUCUUCAUAAAUGGAAAGAAAUUAACAGAUUUCAGGUAAAAGAAUACAAUAGAGAACAUAUUCUGGGCCUAGUUCUUCAAUUCUAUUGCAGCCAUAUCAUUGAGUUCUCUUAUUUGAUUCAGUUGUUUAACAUUUGUAGCUUCUCCAAUCAACAAUUGGAGAGAGGGGGGAGGCCGGAGGAGAGAUAAAAUCGUUUUUUGGAAACUUUUACAAUAUAUAAGACUUUCUUAUCAUGUCAUAUUAUUAUUUUAACUUGCAGUGUUCAUAUCACAUUCUGGCACCUAUUUUCUCUAUGUUAAGUCAUUUCAUUCUCAGUGUAUGAAGUAUAGCACAGUGAACACAGGAGAAUGGGAGACGGGCAUGUUGCUGAGUAUCAGUUCUAAUAAAUGUGGAAUAAUAACAAGUUUUAGUAACGCUGGGCGGUAUGACCAAGUGUGUGUCUGAUAGAAAUGUGAGCUUGAAUAAAUGCCCUAUACUUGUGAGAUUAUCGGAUAUAUUGUAGUACCCUAUACUGGGCCUAUACUACUGUUAGAUGAAGUUCUGCUGAUGAAAGGAGGACUACUGGUGACAAUGUUGAGUCAUUCAAUCAAUAUUUCAACAAUAAAUCAAUGUCAUUCUCUUUGGGAAUUAACUCAGUUCUAGCAUUUGUGUGUAUGUGUGUUUUUGUUGAAUGAAGUCCUUAUUUUUUUGUAAUUGAUUAUGAUUAGAUUAAAUUACUGAUAUUUUAAUUGUAUUUUUAUUUGUUGAAAGUAUUCCAUGAUACAGUGGUUCUCAUUUUGUUGUCUACAAGACACCACUACCCCCCAAUAGUGAUACAAACAACAUUCAUGCAUUAUUCAAUCCUGUGAUGUUUCAAAAUUAACAUACAAAAAAAUAAAGCAUAAAUAUAAAUGCUUAUGGAAAAAAAAACAGAAUGGUGAUAUUUCUGAAAUAUUUAAGAUUUUUUUUCAAUAUGUAUAAUUUUUUAAACUAUUACAGCUCCAUGAGUUCCAAAGCACUUGUUAUUUAAGUUAUCAAUGUUGUUUUUUAAAUGACUUUUUAUUUUUCAAAAUCAUUAGUUGACUAUUUUAAAACUAUUUUGACACCUGUCUGUGUGUAUCCUAAUCAUGUUUUACUACUUCCUUAAUGUGUUGGGUCAGUACUAACAUGGUGUCCAUCAAUAUGUCAAUUUACAUUGUAUAAAGUCAUUCACCAGAUGUCCAUCCAUCACAAGUGUACAAAUAAUUUUUGGUUGUUUUUUAAAUAAAAUGCAUUGUAGGUU